rnacentral:rRNA from 1 species
AUGUUUGCCAACUUCUCUGGUUUGGAGGUACAUCUCGAAACACCAGGACAUGUGUUUGGAGCAUUUCUGUUGCAGCUCCUUGGGAUGCAUCGAUUUCGUACUGCGACACGAAGUCUUAAGGUCAUCCUACAGAGAUUUGAGAGGAAAGAUGGAUGUCCACCCGAUUGUCCUUGUGAUGAGCCUAAGAACUGGAGAACCCAGACUAUCUCCCUGACCAAUCUUGAGAAGCUGGACAUCAUACAAUUCAAAGGGGUGGACCAUGAGUUUGAUUUCUUGAAACUGAUAUUUAGAUGUGCGCCAAUGCUUAACAAAGUGACCGUGGAGCUGCCAAAAGGGUUCCCAACAAAUGUUGAUUGGUGGACAAAAAUACACAACAUCUUCAUGGCAUAUCCUUCAGUGGAAGGCAACGUUCGUACUCCCGGAUGA